AGAGUUUGAUCAUGGCUCAGGACGAACGCUGGCGGCGUGCUUAACACAUGCAAGUCGAGCGGUAAGGCCCUUUCGGGGGUACACGAGCGGCGAACGGGUGAGUAACACGUGGGUGACCUGCCCUCAGCUCUGGGAUAAGCCCGGGAAACUGGGUCUAAUACCGGAUAUGACUCCACGGUGCAUGUCGUGGGGUGGAAAGCCUUGUGCGGCUGAGGAUGGGCCCGCGGCCUAUCAGCUUGUUGGUGGGGUGAUGGCCUACCAAGGCGACGACGGGUAGCCGGCCUGAGAGGGCGACCGGCCACACUGGGACUGAGACACGGCCCAGACUCCUACGGGAGGCAGCAGUGGGGAAUCUUGCGCAAUGGGCGAAAGCCUGACGCAGCGACGCCGCGUGAGGGAUGACGGCCUUCGGGUUGUAAACCUCUUUCAGCUCCGACGAAGCGGAAGUGACGGUAGGAGCAGAAGAAGCACCGGCCAACUACGUGCCAGCAGCGGCGGUAAUUC
rnacentral:rRNA from 1 species